AGCAACAAAUGCCCUGCUUCCAGGAAAAGCCUCUAAGCAUCAGGUAACAUCAAAUCGUACCCCAAACCGACACAGGUGGUCAGGUAGAGAAUACCAAGGCGCUUGAGAGAACUCGGGUGAAGGAACUAGGCAAAAUGGUGCCGUAACUUCGGGAGAAGGCACGCUGACACGUAGGUGAAGUGAUUUACUCAUGGAGCUGAAGUCAGUCGAAGAUACCAGCUGGCUGCAACUGUUUAUUAAAAACACAGCACUGUGCAAACACGAAAGUGGACGUAUACGGUGUGACGCCUGCCCGGUGCCGGAAGGUUAAUUGAUGGGGUCAGCGCAAGCGAAGCUCCUGAUCGAAGCCCCGGUAAACGGCGGCCGUAACUAUAACGGUCCUAAGGUAGCGAAAUUCCUUGUCGGGUAAGUUCCGACCUGCACGAAUGGCGUAAUGAUGGCCAGGCUGUCUCCACCCGAGACUCAGUGAAAUUGAACUCGCUGUGAAGAUGCAGUGUACCCGCGGCAAGACGGAAAGACCCCGUGAACCUUUACUAUAGCUUGACACUGAACAUUGAGCCUUGAUGUGUAGGAUAGGUGGGAGGCUUUGAAGCGUGGACGCCAGUCUGCGUGGAGCCGACCUUGAAAUACCACCCUUUAAUGUUUGAUGUUCUAACGUGGACCCGUAAUCCGGGUUGCGGACAGUGUCUGGUGGGUAGUUUGACUGGGGCGGUCUCCUCCUAAAGAGUAACGGAGGAGCACGAAGGUUGGCUAAUCCUGGUCGGACAUCAGGAGGUUAGUGCAAUGGCAUAAGCCAGCUUGACUGCGAGCGUGACGGCGCGAGCAGGUGCGAAAGCAGGUCAUAGUGAUCCGGUGGUUCUGAAUGGAAGGGCCAUCGCUCAACGGAUAAAAGGUACUCCGGGGAUAACAGGCUGAUACCGCCCAAGAGUUCAUAUCGACGGCGGUGUUUGGCACCUCGAUGUCGGCUCAUCACAUCCUGGGGCUGAAGUAGGUCCCAAGGGUAUGGCUGUUCGCCAUUUAAAGUGGUACGCGAGCUGGGUUUAGAACGUCGUGAGACAGUUCGGUCCCUAUCUGCCGUGGGCGCUGGAAGACUGAGGGGGGCUGCUCCUAGUACGAGAGGACCGGAGUGGACGCAUCACUGGUGUUCGGGUUGUCAUGCCAAUGGCACUGCCCGGUAGCUAAAUGCGGAAAAGAUAAGUGCUGAAAGCAUCUAAGCACGAAACUUGCCCCGAGAUGAGUCUUCCCUGAGACUUUGAGUCUCCUGAAGGAACGUUAAAGACGAUGACGUUGAUAGGCCGGGUGUGUAAGCGCAGCGAUGCGUUGAGCUAACCGGUACUAAUGAACCGUGAGGCUUAACCUUACAACGCCGAAGCUGUU
rnacentral:rRNA from 1 species